ACGAACGCUGGCGGCGUGCCUAAUCCAUGCAAGUAGAACGCUGAAGGAGGAGCUUGCUUCUCUGGAUGAGUUGCGAACGGGUGAGUAACGCGUAGGUAACCUGCCUGGUAGCGGGGGAUAACUAUUGGAAACGAUAGCUAAUACCGCAUAAGAGUAGAUGUUGCAUGACAUUUGCUUAAAAGGUGCAAUUGCAUCACUACCAGAUGGACCUGCGUUGUAUUAGCUAGUUGGUGGGGUAACGGCUCACCAAGGCGACGAUACAUAGCCGACCUGAGAGGGUGAUCGGCCACACUGGGACUGAGACACGGCCCAGACUCCUACGGGAGGCAGCAGUAGGGAAUCUUCGGCAAUGGACGGAAGUCUGACCGAGCAACGCCGCGUGAGUGAAGAAGGUUUUCGGAUCGUAAAGCUCUGUUGUAAGAGAAGAACGAGUGUGAGAGUGGAAAGUUCACACUGUGACGGUAUCUUACCAGAAAGGGACGGCUAACUACGUG
rnacentral:rRNA from 1 species